rnacentral:rRNA from 1 species
ACUACGGGAGGCAGCAGUGAGGAAUAUUGGUCAAUGGACGAGAGUCUGAACCAGCUAAUUGUCGUGAAGGAUGACUGCCCUAUGGGUUGUAAACUUCUUUUAUAUGGGAAUAAAAUGUUCCACGUGUGGGAUUUUGUAUGUAUCAUAUGAAUAAGGAUCGGCUAACUCCGUGCCAGCAGCCGCGGUAAUACGGAGGAUUCGAGCGUUAUCCGGAUUUAUUGGGGUUAAGGGGUGCGUAGGUGGAUUGUUAAGUCAGUUGUGAAAGUUUGCGGCUCAACCGUAAAAUUGCAGUUGAAACUGGCAGUCUUGAGUACAGUAGAGGUAGGCGGAAUUCGUGGUGUAGCGGUGAAAUGCUUAGAUAUCACGAAGAACACCGAUUGCGAAGGCAGUUCACUGGACUGCAACUGACGCUGAGGCUCGAAAGUGUGGGUAUCGAACAGGAUUAGAUACCCGUGUAGUC